rnacentral:tRNA from 1 species
GGAAUUUAGCUCAGUGGUAGAGCACUUGCCUUGCAAGCACAAGGCCCUGGGUUCGGUCCCCAGCUCCG